rnacentral:rRNA from 1 species
UACAGAGGUCCCAAGCGUUGUUCGGAAUUACUGGGCGUAAAGGGCUCGUAGGCGGCCAACUAAGUCAGACGUGAAAUCCCUCGGCUUAACCGGGGAGCUGCGUCUGAUACUGGAUGGCUUGAGUUCGGGAGAGGGAUGCGGAAUUCCAGGUGUAGCGGUGAAAUGCGUAGAUAUCUGGAGGAACACCCGUGGCGAAGGCGGCUCUCUGGUACGUGACUGACGCUGAGACGCGAAAGCGUGGGGAGCGAACAGG